CAGAACACACACCAUCAAUGCAGGCAACAGUGAGAAGUGGGUUACUUCCCCUUUCUGUGAAGAGUAGCCGGUGACCAUUUGCACAAAGGAGAUUAACCUGAAAUAAGAAGUGUGGACAGCCCCCCGCCCCAUCUCCACCCCAAACAAGAGGACAGAAUCCGCAGAGAGGAGUCGUCUGCUCAAGGCCAUGCGGAGGACUGAUGGCAGACCACGUGAGGCUGAUCCUAUUGGCAGAUCAUGCACCUUUUCCUCUGUGACUUCACACAUCGUCUCCCACCUGAGCUCCUGGCCACGUUACUGAGGCUGCUCUGACUGUCAGUGCGAAAGCCACUGUGACCUCCAGGCUGCAGAGACCAAGGCAGAAGCAGAGGCAGGAGGGAGUUGAGGCUGAAGAUUCCCAGACAGCAUAAUGACAUUGGAAGAGAAAAGAGCAGGAAUCAGAAUCGCUGUGUCACCCACCAGCGCUACAGUAGCAGCAAGUCAUUUGACCACCUGGUUAGCCAUCUAGUGAACCGGGCUCCUCCUGCCUCCCAGGACCUCUGAGGCAAACAUUGGGCAUUGUGAAGUGAAUGACAUCAUCUCCCUCUGCUGUGCCUCUGCUGCUCUCAAAGUUAAGAAUUUUUCUCGAGUCUCAAAAGUAUCUGGACUUCUAAAAGCUAUGAAACUUUUAGAGAUGGAACAAGAGGAGGUGAAAACAGGACUUUGAGGCAAGGGAUGGAAUGAAUGCUCUGAUGGCGUUGUGUGUUUGGAGGUCAAGCUGACAAGGCUGGGAUUGCGACCGUCAAUCUUCAUUGUCAAAAGUGAUGGGAUUUAGAAUCACCAUGGAAACCCCUCUGGGUGUGUCUAUUAGGGUGUUUCCAGGAAGCCUUAACUGAAGCAGGAAGAUCCACCGAAUGUGGGCAGCACUGUUCCACAGGCUGGGGUUCCAGACUGAAUAAAAAGGGUGAAGGGAGCUGAACUUUCCUCCCGCCCCUCCUCCCUGACUGCUCAGUGUGACCUGCUGCCAUGCCUUCUCCGCCAUGAUGGGGCAUACCCUCAAACCAUGAGACAAACCAGGCCUCCAUCCCCCUUCAGCUGUCUUGUCAGAACAGUGAGAAGAGUCACUGACAGAAGAGAAAGCACAUCAUACAAUUUGAUAUCCAUGUCUUCCUACAAAACUUGGCAAGCUAGAGGGGAAAAACCAGUUCCUUAAUCUUGUAAAGCAUAUCUAUCAAAAAAAAAUCAACUACAAAUAUCUAAGUGUUGAGGAAUUUAUAUUCACUUUGCCUUUCAUUUAGGAUCAAGACUGUGAUUGUGUCUUUACCAUGGUCUUUACCAAGUUUAUGUAGUGCAUUAACACAAGAAAAGGUCAAGAUAACAUGAAAGAAAACUACCAUUAUUUAUAGGAAAUAUUAUUACCAACACAAAAUGUAGAGGGAAUGUAUAUAAAUAUUAUGAACACUAAUGCAAAUAUUCUCCCUGGUUGCUAGAUAAAUAUGCAGACAAUAUUGCAUUCCAGUAUGCUUGCAAUAAUUAGAAUGAUAAUAAAGCAGCACCUGUGAGCUUCUUGGAAUAAAAUCCACAAGAAAGACAUAUAUUAGAUAUUUAGGAAAGAAAAAACUCAGAAUUUAUUAAAAAGCAUAAAAGGCAAAACUAAAUGAAGAAGUGAAAGAAGUUGAUGUAUUGACUUAGAUUCUUAUAAGUCCCAGCUCUUCUCAAAUGAAGCUCUGUGAUUUUUGUAGAAAGAGCAAGUGUAGGCUUAGCACAGGGCACCUCAGUACUUGAUAGGAAACCAUAGUUAUUAAGAGUUCAAAAGCGGGGCUGGAGAGAUGGCUCAGUGGUUAAGAGCACUGGCUGGUCUU